AUCCUCCCGACUAGCUGGGACUGCAGGCAUAGAAUGUCAAGCUAACCAGGCGUCUGCUACUUCAGAAGAAUGUACCGUCGCAUGGGAAGUCUGUAAACAUGCUUUUCACUUCCACUGCAUCUCUCGCUGGCUCAAAACCACGACAGAU